rnacentral:rRNA from 1 species
CCUACGGGGGGCAGCAGUGGGGGAUAUUACACAAUGGGGGAAACCCUGAUGCAGCGACGCCGCGUGAGUGAAGAAGUAUUUCGGUAUGUAAAGCUCUAUCAGCAGGGAAGAAAAUGACGGUACCUGACUAAGAAGCCCCGGCUAACUACGUGCCAGCAGCCGCGGUAAUACGUAGGGGGCAAGCGUUAUCCGGAUUUACUGGGUGUAAAGGGAGCGUAGACGGUGAUGCAAGUCAGAAGUGAAAGCCCGCGGCUCAACUGCGGGACUGCUUUUGACACUGCAUAACUAGAGUGCAGGAGAGGUAA